ACAACACAAAAGAAAGGGGGGUGGAGAAUUAUAGAGCACACAAAAAAAAAAGAAUAGAGUAGCAGUCCCAAAAUCCUCUUUUUCCUGCAUUAAAACCCACUAAAAUCAGCCAUAAAAAUACCUUUGUUUCUCACGCCAAAACCAACUCCUUUGUUCACCUAAACAUCACCCAAAAGCUAACCUUUAACCACCACAAAAACUUGCUCAAACACAAUCCCAAAAUUAGCAACAAUGAGCUUAAAAAUAGUCACAAAAAUCAGCCAAAAACCAGCUCUCCCCACCUUAAAACAAUCCCAAAAAGUAUUGCUAAAACCACCUCUGAACUUCAGCAAAAUCCAGCCACGAAAUCCAUUAAAAAUAGCUCGUAAACACUGCUAAAACAACACCAAAAUAACCUAGAAACAACAGCUUAAACUGCUGUCAAUUGUGCCGAACAGCCAUCAAAACAACCCCUGUUUCGUACCCUUUCUCCACCACAAAUUCCACCUCACAACAACUAUGAAAUCUCAACCUUAAACACCUUGCAAAACCUAGCAGAAACAAUUUAAAAUAGCUCUCUUUUUGGAUUUAAAACAGCGUCAACAAUGGAUGUUCGAGCUUGCCGUUGAGGUCUCGAGUCGAUGGUUCCGUCUGAGGUCGUAGGCAAAUUUUCAGUUCAAGAGUUCCAUAAAUCUUUAGUUGUUGUAGUUUAAGCUGAAAGCUAAUAAAAGGUUCAGUUUUUAUCUCUUUUCUCAAUAGUAUAUUUGCUCUAGUUGCUCUUUGUCAAAUGCUCUGUUUAUUCUUGCGUUCAGAUAAAUAUUUUUUAUUUCAAUUUAUUUAAUUGAUGUGGUAUAGUGUCGUCUUGUUUGCAUUAAUAACAUAAAAUUUAGUAGGUAAUCUCUUUUAUUUGAUUAUGUUUAUGAGUUGAAUGCUAAGUAGGUUACUGUUUGGUGUCGCGCAUUAAAAUGGACCAUUACCUAAGAAUAAAUUUGGUCGUGAGGUUCGUUCCCAAAUAUCAUAAAUGGGCCAUUUGUUAGGGUUAUAGAUAAAAUAACAAUUUUGGGGCUAAAUAAGUUUAGCAUGCUAGGUCCAUUAACCUCGUAUAACUGCCCUCUUAUUAGUCCUUAAAUAAUCUAAACAAUUCAUGAAUAUGUGUAGAAUAUUUUAGGUGCGCUUGAUCCAUUUUCGUGAUUAUGUAUACAUUCGUGUGACAUUAUUAUGAUCCUAAAAAUAAAUCAAGGUACGUGUCAGCGCGAUUUUGGCCAAUAUUAAUAAAGUGUUAUUAAUUGUGUACACGUACGCAUGAUAUAAUUUUUAGCACACUAAGUAAAAAGGAUUCACACACACGUAGUUCAUUUCAAGAUAAUCCCAUAACAUCAUAAUCAAGAAAUUAAAAAGAGAUAAAAGGUAAAAUAUACCUAGAAUCUAAAAUACGUAAUAAUCAAUUAAUUAAGCCAAUUUAUGAUUAUGAAGAGACCAUGCUAGAACCACAAAACGCGAAAAUGCCUAACACCUUCUCCCGGAUUAAUAAAGUUUCGCUGACUUUAAACAGAGUCAAAACUUUCUUGAUUUGGGAUUUAAAAUAAAUGGUGACUUGGGACACCUUAAAUAAUUAUUUCAAGUGGCGACUCUUCUAAAUAAAUAAAAUAAUCUCAUUUCAAUAAUGUCACUUAAAUUGGAAAAAAUUCCUUCCCCCCUCCCCCAAAAAAGGAGGUGUGAUAGUUGUGAGGUUGAAUUACGCCAUUGGCAUCCUCAUCGCUGAAUGAGAUGGAUCCCUCUAGAACAUAGCCCCGAUUUCAUCUUUCUCUUGUGAUAAAAACUUUGUUGAGUUUUAUCAUUGGCCUUUGUGGAACAUCUACACAUCCGUUGGUCAAGUUAAUCACAUGUUGAGGUUCUUCUUGCUCGAUUUGUUUGUUGGUGUCCUUAUUUUUGAAAUAGUUUUAUGCCUGUUUACUUAGGAAUUCCCGAAGGUGCCCAUUGUCGAACAUACGAGCUAAUUCAAUUAAAAGUGGCUACAUGAAAGAUUUCAUCCUAUGUACUCUAACUAAUUCACCUGCACCAAAGUUUCCCACCCAAUGUCACCUGCCUUUUGGCAUCUUUCUCCACCCGAUAAAGUUUGUUGAGUGCAUCAAAAAUAUAUUCCCUCAAAGAAUGCCAAAAUAUUUUUCUUUCUCCUUAAGAAUUCUUUCUCACAUUUUCACACUAUAUAAUAGACACAUACAACACAAAAGAGAUGGGGAUAGAGAAUUAUAGAGCACCAAAGAAGAAUAGAAUAACAGUCCCAAAAUCCUCUUCUUCCCCUAUUCAAACCCACUGAAAGUAGCCUUGAAAACACCUCUGUUUCUCACGCCAAAACCUUUUCCUUCUUCACCUAAAAAUCACCUAAAAGAUAACCUUUAACCACCACAAAAACCAGCUCAAACACAAUCCCAAAAUCAGCAACAAUGAGCUGAAAAAAAGUCACAAAAGUUAGCCAAAAACCAGCUCUUCCCACCUUUUAACCGCCCCAAAAAACACAGCUGAAACCACUUCUGAACUCCAGCAAAAUCCAGAUACAAAAUCCACAAAAAAACCCGUAAAUGCUGAAAAAACAGCACCAAAAUGACCUAGAAACAACAACUCAAACCACUGUCAGUUUCGCCGAACAGCCGUCGAAACAACCCUAUUUUGUCCCCUUUCUCCACCAUAAAUUCCACCUCACAACAACCAUGAAACCUCACCCUUAAACACCCUGCAAAACCCAGCGAAAUCAAUUCAAAACAACCCUAUUUUUUGGACUUAAAGUCAAAAGUGGAUGUUCGAGCUGCCGUUGAGGUCUCGAGUCGAUGGGUCCGUCCAAGGUCAUAGGCAAAUUUUCGGUUGAAGAUGUAAUGACCCGGUCGGUCAUUUUAAGAAUUAACACCCUAAUACCCUAUUAACUACUUUCCCCGUGUUUGUUUCUGCUGGUUUGAUUUGCCGGGAUGUUUGAUUUUGAGUUUCGGAGUGUUUUGAGACACUUAGUCCUUAAAAGAGAGCUUAAACUUUAGAAUUUGGACCAUAGUCAGAGUAGUGUGAAGACAACCUCGAAAUGGAAUUCUGUCAGUUCUGUUAGCUCCGUUGGGUGAUUUUGAGCUUAGGGGCGUGUUCGGAUUGUGUUUUGGAGGUCCGUAACUUAUUUAGGCUUGAAAUGCCGAAAGUUGAAUUUUUGAAGUUACCGGUUCGAUUGUGAGAUUUUGAUAUCUGGGUCGGAAUGGGAUUUUGGAAGUUGGAGUAGCUCUGUAGUCUUGAAUGUGACGUGCUUGCAAAAUUUUAGGUCAUUUAGACAAGGUUUGAUAGACUUUUUGAUCAAAAGCGUAAUUUGAGAGUUUUUGGAGUUCUUAGGCUUGAAUUUGUUGUUAAAUUGGUGUUUUGAUGUUGUUUUGAGCGUUAUGAAGGUUGGAACAAGUUUGAAUAAUGUUUUAGGAUUGGUUGGCACGUUUGGUUGAGGUCCUGGGGGCCUCAGGUGUGUUUCGGAUGCUCAACGGGUAAUUUUUGGACUUAGAGAAAUUGCAGAAAAAUCAGCAGGUCAGUUCUGGUUUCCUUCUUCACGUUCCCGAGUGGGGUCUCGCAUUCGCAAAGAGGAGCUGGGCUUGUGGAAGUUUAAUGCUUCGUGUUCGCGAAGGUGUUUCCGCGUUCGCGAGGCUGUGAGGUCUUAUACCUAUGCGUUCUUGAAGAUGGUCCCGCGUACGCGUAGGAGGGGGGAAGAUGGUCACCGCAUUCGCGAUAGGGAUAUCGCUUUCGCGAUGAAGGAAGACUAGACCAAGCGAAGUUGUGAUUCACGAAUGCGAGGGUCCUUCCACGUUCACUAAGAAGGAUUUAUCUGGGCAGAAUACAAAAUUUCAAAGUCGAGAGUUUGGCCAUUAUUUACAAAACUAGAGCAUGGGAGCUUGGAUUUGAGCGAAAGUUUGAGGGAUUUUGAGAGAUAUCGAUUGGAUAAUGAUUCUUAACUUCUUUUUUCUUAUAACCCAUUAAUCUAAACAUGAAUUCAUCAUCUAAUUUCGGAUUUGGGGUGAGAAAUUGGGGAAAAGUUUGGAAAAGUUCUUAGACCUAAAUUUCAAGUUUUGAUUGGAGAUUUGACAUCAGAUUUGGAUAAUUUUUGUAUGGUUAGACUCGUGAGUGAAUGAGGAUUCAUAAUCCGUAAAUUUACCCCAUUCCGAGGUGGGCCUGAUUUUGAGCCGGUUCGAGGUAAGUGGCUUUCCUAACCUUGUGUGGGGGAACUCCCCUUAGGAUUUGGUAUUGUUGAUAUUUGAAAUGCCUUAUAAAUGAGGUGAUGAGUGUGUACUUGUGCUAAUUAUUGAAAAUCAUGUUUUCAUUAAGGAACUCUAAUUGUGUUUCCUUUCCUGCUUAUACUACUUGCAAUUUAAGCCUGCUGUUAGCUUAGGGAAGCUUGUCUAAUUGACUUAAUUGCUUUAUUUGCUCAAACUGCCUUAUUUGGAUUAUGUGUAGCAUGCUAGGUUAGAAUUACCUGUUUUACCUUGGUAUGAAAUUUGAAUUUAAUUGAGUAUUCUUCGUAUUGCUGCUGUGUGUUUUUAUUUUGGGACGGUAUCCCGGGAGAUCCCCUGCACCUAUAUUGAUUUGGACUGUAGUGUGGGAUACCGAGAGAUCCCCGACAUGAAUAUUGAGGAUACUAAGAGAUCCUUGGGAUACUGAGAUACCCCCAAUAUAUAUAUUGAGGAUACUAAGAGAUCCGCAACACACAUAUUGAGGAUACUAAGAGAUCCUCGGGAUAUUGAGAGAUUCCCGGUUGUUAUAUCUGUGUUGAGAGGUAUUCCUUUUGUGAUUAUUUUGUCUCUGUUAUAGUUGUUAUUAUUCUUAUUAUCCGGUGUUACUUCUUAUUGUUAGCAUUUAAUUAUAUUGUCGUAUUAUAUACUAUUUUACCUUGUUUUUCAACUAUAAUCAGUAGGGCCCUGACCGUCCUCAUCACUACUCGAUCGAGGUUAGGCUUGGCACUUACUGAGUACCAUUGUGGUGUACUCAUGCCCUUUCUGCGCAUGUUUUUCAUGUGCAAAUCCAAGUACUUUGACUCAGCCCUACUACCCUUGAGGCGAGGUGAUACUCCAGAGACUUCGAGGUAUAUCUGCCGCGUCCGCAGAUCGAGGAGUCCCUUUCCAUUAUCUCUUAUAGUAUUAGCCCUUCUAUAUUUACUUUUGUUUAGACAUUCUGGAGUUAGACACUUAUAGUUAUUCAAUAGCUUGUGAUUUCAUGAAAUUCAGGGUUUUGGGAAGUUGUUCAGUUUGAGAGUUAAAUUGUAUAUGCCGAGCGCCAUCUUUAAACCUUCAUUUUGUUUAUUCCGCAGUUUUUAUUUGUUGAUUCUGCUGUUUUCCCUUUUUCUGCAAUUGUUAGGGUUACCUAGUUGUAGGGACUAGGUGCCGUCACGACAGUUCAAGGAAGGCAAACUUGGGUCAUGAUAAGUUGGUAUCACAACUCUAGGUUCAUAGGAGUCAUGAAUCACAAGCCGGUUUAUUAGAGUCUCGCGGAUUGGUAUGGAGACUUCUGUACUUAUCUACGAGAAGCUAUGUAACUGUUAGGAAAAUUCCACUUCAUUUGAUUUCCUUGUCGUGUGACAUUUUUGAUGUCACAAUUCUAAGCUUCUAUCUUCUAUUCUCUCAUAGAUGGUGAGCACACAUGCUACCAGAGAUGAUCAGGAACCCGCGCCCCUUGCUGGAGCUGUUAGAGGUUGGGGACGGGGUAGAGGCCAAGGACGCGCACGUGGUGCAGCCAGAGCACCCGCCCGAGCUACCACCUAGGUUCCACCAGCAGUUCCAUCCGGAGUCUAAGAACCUGAUACGCCUACUGCUACUACUACACCAGCUCUCCAGGAGACUCUUGCGUAGUUCAUGAGCAUGUACACCACUCUGGCUCAAGCAGGGUUUCUUCCCCUUGCUGCAGCUACAUCUCAGGCCGAGGGAGGAGCACAGACUCUCGCCGCCCGCACUCUUGAGAAGCGAAUGCAUGUUGAUCAGGUCUUAGAGGUUAUUCCUGUAUGGCCUGCAAUCCCAUAUCAACCCGAGGACAGGGCAGCGGCUUCCGAAGAUGAACAACUAAGGUUUGAGAGGUUCAAGAAGUACAAGCCUCCUGUAUUCAGUGGUCUAGCAUCAACUGAUGCUCUAGGAUUUCUAGAUGAGUGCUACUGUAUCCUCCGUACCAUGGGUAUAUCAGGAUCGAGCAGGGUUUUUUUCACUACUUUCCAGCUUCGAGGAGCUGCCUAUGAGUUGUGGCGAACCUAUGAGUUAGAUAGUUUUGAUGAGGCAGCUUCCCUGACUUGGAGUCAUUUUUCAGAUAUGUUCCUAAGAGAGUAUGUUCCUCAGAGCCUCAGAGACGCAUGGCGCGCAGAGUUUGAGCAUUUGCGCCCGGGUGCUAUGACUGUCUCGGAGUAUGCUGUCUAUUACACUAGCUUGGCUAGACAUGCCUCAGCCUUGGUUCUACUGUUUGCAAGAGGGUUCGCCGGUUUAUUGAGGGGCUUAUUCCCAGCAUCAGGUCUAGCAUGGCUCAUGAGUUGGAGAUGGAUAUUUUUUAUCAGCAGGUGGUGAGCAUUGCUAGGAGGAUAGAGGGUAUGCAUGCUAGGGACAAAGAAGAGAGGGAGGCCAAGAGGUCUCCAGAGUCAUGCCAUUAUUCUGGUGCUUGUGCUCCAUUUGUAGUUCGUCAUGGUAGGGGUUAUAUGAGACGCCCGUUCAUUUAGCUCUUCCAGCAGCUCUUCCAGUACCCAGCCAAUCAUUUUGAGAGUUGUAGCCACGUUUCCCCAUUUACUGCUCAUUUUGUGCUUUAUAGCUAUUAUGUGACUUCUAGGGGUAGUCGCUUCGGGUUUGGAGGAAUUUCGGAAUGAAUUGAGGCACUUAGUCUCAAAAUUGAAAGCUUAAGUUGGAAAAGUUGAUCGGAUAUUGACUUAUGUGUAAACGACUCCGGAAUGGAGUUUUGAUGGUUUCGUUAGUUUCGUCGGGUGAUUUUUGACAUAGGCGCGUGCCCGGAUAGUGAUUUGGAUGUCCGUAGUUGAAUUAGGUUUGAAAUGACGAAAGUUAAAAAUUUGGAAGUUUGACCGAUAGUGAACUUUGUGGUUACCGGGAUCGGAUUGGGGUUCUAGGAAUUAGAGUAGGUCCUUGGUGUCAUUUAUGAUUUGUGUGCAAAAUUUGGGGUCAAUCGGACGUGAUUUGAUAUGUUUCGGCAUCAUUUGUAGAAGUUGGAAUUUCCUUAGUUUCAAAAGGCUUGAAUUGGGGUGCGAUUCAUGUUUUUGAUGUUUUUGAGGUUAUUUGAGGACUUGACUAAGUUCGUAUUGUAUUUUAGGACUUGUUGGUAUAUUUGGUUGAGGUUCCGGGGGCCUUGGAUUGAUUUCAGAUGGUUAACGGAUCGAAUUUGGAGUUUGAAAUAUUGCUGAAGCUGGGAGUCUUCAGGUGCAAUCGCACCUGCGGAACUUUGGUCGUAGGUCCGAGCUCAUAGCUGCGAGCUAGGAAGCGCAGAAACGGAGGUUGGAUUGGGGGCUGUGGAGCAUAGAUACAGAAAGAAUUCUACAGGUGCGGAAUCGAACCUGCGCGUGGAGGAUCGCAUAAGCGAAAGAGGGCUUGGGGAGGCUAGUCCACUGUAGCGGAUGAUUUGCACAGAUGCGCACCUGCAGAAGAGGUAUUUUCCAUAGCAAAAGUAGUUGGUCGGAAUUAAGUGACUUUCGCAGAUGCAGAUUGUUGACCGCAAAAGCGGUACUGCCGAAGAGGAUUUUUUACCAUAAAAACGAGAAAGCCUGGGCAGAUUUAUUUAAACGAGGGUUCCGAGAUUUUCACCAUUUUAAACAUUUCAAGCUCGGGAUUGGGCGAUUUUUGAGAGGAUUGGAUUUCUUGAGGUAAGUCAUUUGUGCUCAUUUUUGUUCGAUAAUCUUGUUUCCCCAUUGAAUUUCCCACCUAGUUUGUGUAUAUUUAAGGUGGAAUUUGGGAGUUUGAGGCUAGAGAUUUGGAGAGUUUAAUUUGAGGAUUUGGGUGAUGAUUUGGUGUCGGAUUUUGUUAAAUUUGGUAUGGUUGGACUCAUUGAUUAGGUUUUCGGAUUUUUUAACUUUUAUGAGAUUUCAAGACAUGGGCCCGGGGACCAGCUUUUGAGUUAACUUUUGACUCUGAUGAAUAACUUAGUAUUUUCUUAUGGAAUUGAUUCCUUUAGCCUGUGUUGAUUAUAUUGAAUUGCUUGUGGCUAGAUUCAAUGUAUUUGGAGGCCGAUUCGCACGGCAAGAGAGUGAUGGAGUAGGGAUUUCCACGUUUUGAGGUAAGUAAAUGUUCUAAAUUUGGGUUCUGAGGGUAUGAAACCCCGUAUUAAGUGUCAUGUGAUUGGUUUGCGGUGAUGCACAUGCUAGGUGACAGGCGUGUGGGCGUGCACCGUAGGAAUUUUGGCUUGGUCAAUUCCAUGGAGCCGUAUAGUUGAAUAAUCUGUUGUUGUUCGUAUAUUUUUCAUGUUUUAUAGAAAUUAAACUGCAAAUCAUGCUAGAAAUCAUGUUUAGGCUAUGUAUUGGUACUGUAGGGACCAACAGAGGCUGUGCAUGUUGAAUUAUCUGCUAAAUUGUUGUUUUGCACUCUGUCACAGUUUUACUUGCAUAUUAUAUCUCAGUCUCUAUUGUUUUUUAUUGAUACAUUUUAUCAUCGCUAUUUGGGCUGAUUAUCAUGAUUACUGAGAGCCCGGGAGGCUGGAGAGAUAAACGACUGAGUGAGGCUGCAGGCCUGAUUGUGAGGAUAUUUUAUGGAAUCGGGCUGCACGCUGUAACAUGUUUUAUUGAUUUACGCAAUGAUUGGAUGAUUAUAACUCUUGGGAUGAAGGUGCCCCUCCGGAGUCUGUACACACCCUAGUGAGCGCAGGUACCUGCUGAGUGCGAGUGACGAGUGCGAGUGCCAAGCGAUUGAGAGAAAUGAGAGACUAUGAGGAAUGAGUGACUGCGAGGUUGGAGUAAACAGGAGGACUGAGUGACUGUUGCUCUGAGAUUAUGCACUUAAUUUCAUUAUUGUUGUACUUCAACUGGCAUAUAUCACUGUCAUGUAAUUUCUAUGAGAUAUUAUAUCCUAUUUCAAUUGAACUUGACAUGAAUUAACUGAUUUGACCUUAAUUGUCGAACGUUAAAGCAUGCCUAUCUUCCUAUGUUGUAAUUUCUGUAAUUGAACUAUAUCUGUGAAGCUCGUCACUACUUUCAGUCCGUUAUUUAGUCUUGUUACUUACUGAGUUGGUUGUAAUCAUGCUACACCCUGAACUUCGUGUGUAGAUCCAGGUAUUUCCGGACAUGGUGGAUGUUGAUUCUCUAUGUAGCUUGAUCAUUUGGAGAUUUUAAGGUAGCUGCCUG
rnacentral:lncRNA from 1 species